GUGGGGAAUAUUGGGCAAUGGGCGAAAGCCUGAUCCAGCCAUGCCGCGUGUGUGAAGAAGGUCUUCGGAUUGUAAAGCACUUUAAGUUGGGAGGAAGGGCAGUAAGUUAAUACCUUGCUGUUUUGACGUUACCGACAGAAUAAGCACCGGCUAACUUCGUGCCAGCAGCCGCGGUAAUACGAAGGGUGCAAGCGUUAAUCGGAAUUACUGGGCGUAAAGCGCGCGUAGGUGGUUUUGUAAGUUGGAGGUGAAAUCCCCGGGCUCAACCUGGGAACUGCCUCCAAAACUGCAUGACUAGAGUACGGUAGAGGGUAGUGGAAUUUCCUGUGUAGCGGUGAAAUGCGUAGAUAUAGGAAGGAACACCAGUGGCGAAGGCGACUACCUGGACUGAUACUGACACUGAGGUGCGAAAGCGUGGGGAGCAAACAGGAUUAGAAACCCCGGUAGCC
rnacentral:rRNA from 1 species